UAAGCGGAGGAAAAGAAACUAACAAGGAUUCCCCUAGUAACGGCGAGUGAAGUGGGAAAAGCUCAACUUUGUAAUCUGGCUGUCUUUUGGCAGUCCGAGUUGUAGUCUAGAGAAGUGAUGUCCGCGCAGACCCUUAUAGAUUUCGGUUGGAAUGCCAAGUCAAAGAGGGUGAGAAUCCCGUAUUUGAUAAGGUGGUCUUGUGCAUUGUGAUACGCUUUCAAAGAGUCGAGUUGUUUGGGAAUGCAGCUCAAAGUGGGUGGUAAAUUCCAUCUAAAGCUAAAUAUUGGCGAGAGACCGAUAGCGAACAAGUACCGUGAGGGAAAGAUGAAAAGCACUUUGGAAAGAGAAUGAAAUAGUACAUGAAAUUGCUGAAAGGGAAACGAUUGAAGUUAGACAUGCGCUUUGGGUAUUCAGCCUUGGCUUCGGUCUUGGUGCAUUUGCCCAAUUUUGCAGGCCAACAUCAGUUAUCUUUGCUGUAAAAGGGUUUAGGGAAUGUGGCUCUUUCGGGAGUGUUAUAGCCCUUUGCUGGAUGCAGAAUCGAUGACUGAGGAACGCAGUGCGCCUUUAUUGGCAAGGCUUUCGGGCUUCGAGCACUUAGGAUGUUGGUAGAAUAGCUUUAACGACCCGUC
rnacentral:rRNA from 1 species